ensembl:piRNA 21ur-4476 ncRNA
UUAAUAAGCAAAUUCGCAAUA